rnacentral:snoRNA from 1 species
ACGACCUUAUUUGAACAGGAUUUGUUCUAUAGACUCGUACCUCUGUAUCCUUGAUUUUGUGUUCAAAAAAAAAAAAAACUAACUCAUU